GGGGAAGUGGCCGAGCGGUCGAAGGCAGCAGUCUUGAAAACUGCCGGGCGUGAAAGCGUCCCGUGGGUUCGAAUCCCACCUUCCCCGCCA
rnacentral:tRNA from 1 species